rnacentral:rRNA from 1 species
ACGAACGCUGGCGGCGUGCUUAACACAUGCAAGUCGCACGGUAAGGCCCUUUCGGGGGUACACGAGUGGCGAACGGGUGAGUAACACGUGGGUGAUCUGCCCUGCACUUUGGGAUAAGCCUGGGAAACUGGGUCUAAUACCGGAUAGGACUACGCGAUGCAUGUCGUGUGGUGGAAAGCUUUUGCGGUGUGGGAUGGGCCCGCGGCCUAUCAGCUUGUUGGUGGGGUGAUGGCCUACCAAGGCGACGACGGGUAGCCGGCCUGAGAGGGUGUCCGGCCACACUGGGACUGAGAUACGGCCCAGACUCCUACGGGAGGCAGCAGUGGGGAAUAUUGCACAAUGGGCGCAAGCCUGAUGCAGCGACGCCGCGUGGGGGAUGACGGCCUUCGGGUUGUAAACCCCUUUCAGCACAGACGAAGCGUAAGUGACGGUAUGUGCAGAAGAAGCACCGGCCAACUACGUG